rnacentral:rRNA from 1 species
UACGGAGGGGGCUAGCGUUGUUCGGAAUUACUGGGCGUAAAGCGCACGUAGGCGGACCGGAAAGUUGGGGGUGAAAUCCCGGGGCUCAACCUCGGAACUGCCUUCAAAACUAUUGGUCUGGAGUUCGAGAGAGGUGAGUGGAAUUCCGAGUGUAGAGGUGAAAUUCGUAGAUAUUCGGAGGAACACCAGUGGCGAAGGCGGCUCACUGGCUCGAUACUGACGCUGAGGUGCGAAAGCGUGGGGAGCAAACAGG